rnacentral:rRNA from 1 species
UACGGGGGGGAGCAAGCGUUGUUCGGAUUUACUGGGCGUAAAGGGCGCGUAGGCGGCGCAACAAGUCACUUGUGAAAUCUCCGGGCUUAACCCGGAGCGGUCAAGUGAUACUGUCGUGCUAGAGUGCGGAAGGGGCUACUGGAAUUCUCGGUGUAGCGGUGAAAUGCGUAGAUAUCGGAGAGGGAACACCCUGGCGGCGAAGGCGGGUAGCUGGGCCGACACUGACGCUGAUGCGCGAAAGCCAGGGGAGCGAACGGG